AGUGAACGCUGGCGGUAGGCCUAACACAUGCAAGUCGAACGGCAGCACAGUAAGAGCUUGCUCUUACGGGUGGCGAGUGGCGGACGGGUGAGGAAUACAUCGGAAUCUACUUUUUCGUGGGGGAUAACGUAGGGAAACUUACGCUAAUACCGCAUACGGCCUACGGGUGAAAGCAGGGGAUCUUCGGACCUUGCGCGAUUGAAUGAGCCGAUGUCGGAUUAGCUAGUUGGCGGGGUAAAGGCCCACCAAGGCGACGAUCCGUAGCUGGUCUGAGAGGAUGAUCAGCCACACUGGAACUGAGACACGGUCCAGACUCCUACGGGAGGCAGCAGUGGGGAAUAUUGGACAAUGGGCGCAAGCCUGAUCCAGCCAUACCGCGUGGGUGAAGAAGGCCUUCGGGUUGUAAAGCCCUUUUGUUGGGAAAGAAAAGCAGCAGGUGAAUACCCCGCUGUUCUGACGGUACCCAAAGAAUAAGCACCGGCUAACUUCGUG
rnacentral:rRNA from 1 species